UGGCUCAGAUUGAACGCUGGCGGCAUGCCUUACACAUGCAAGUCGAACGGUAACAGCUCUUCGGAGGCUGACGAGUGGCGAACGGGUGAGUAAUACAUCGGAACGUGCCCGAUCGUGGGGGAUAACGAAGCGAAAGCUUUGCUAAUACCGCAUACGAUCUACGGAUGAAAGCAGGGGACCCUCGGGCCUUGCGCGAACGGAGCGGCCGAUGGCAGAUUAGGUAGUUGGUGGGAUAAAAGCUUACCAAGCCGACGAUCUGUAGCUGGUCUGAGAGGACGACCAGCCACACUGGGACUGAGACACGGCCCAGACUCCUACGGGAGGCAGCAGUGGGGAAUUUUGGACAAUGGGCGAAAGCCUGAUCCAGCAAUGCCGCGUGCAGGAUGAAGGCCUUCGGGUUGUAAACUGCUUUUGUACGGAACGAAAAGCYUCGGGAUAAUACCCCGGGGCCAUGACGGUACCGUAAGAAUAAGCACCGGCUAACUACGUGCCAGCAGCCGCGGUAAUACGUAGGGUGCAAGCGUUAAUCGGAAUUACUGGGCGUAAAGCGUGCGCAGGCGGUUAUGUAAGACAGAUGUGAAAUCCCCGGGCUCAACCUGGGAACUGCAUUUGUGACUGCAUAGCUAGAGUGCGGCAGAGGGGGAUGGAAUUCCGCGUGUAGCAGUGAAAUGCGUAGAUAUGCGGAGGAACACCGAUGGCGAAGGCAAUCCCCUGGGCCUGCACUGACG
rnacentral:rRNA from 1 species